UGGCUCUGUCCGCAUGCCUCUGCUGUAGAUAUUAGGCAACCUCUCGGCCGGCAGUAUUGUGUGAGUUUGGACUCCGGCGACUGGUGGUGGUACCGAUAAGCUGGUUGGUGGUUGUGCUGGUGCACCACUUGAUGUGAACCCUGGUGGCGGUUGGCUAAAAGGACCAAGUGACAACGGUCUAGGAUCGUGAAUCGGUGGUGGAUUUACUCGCUCCGGAUAUGGUAGUGUGUAACCCCUUGCUAAAUUAGGCUGCUGAGACGUUAAGCCUGACGCCAAUGCAUGUGAAGACAGAAUGACUGACUCCCGGGAUGGGCGCGCUGGUGCAUGUGGUGCCGCUGCUGGCAUCGCCAAGCCGGCUUGUGAAAAUACUUGAUUAGUGCCGUCAUUGUCUCCCAACAACGAACGCUUGGCCGCUUCAGCAAUUCGAGGUAUCAGCGCUCUCAAUCUUUCUUCUUCCUGUUGACGGUACUGCAAUUGGGACAGGGCGAUGGCAGAAUUAAUAAUUUCCCUGACUCCUGCGCUGACUGCUGGAUCUGCUGGCGGGAUAACUGGUCUAUUCUGCAACCCGGUCAAAACACUAUAGUUUGGCGAGGCAACGCUUCCAUGUGACCAAAAAGACGUGUUAAACGAGUUAGCGGCCUCUUGCAUGCUUAAUGGAACUGGUGGCGGUGCCGAUGAAUUGGACAUUGAUGAUGAAACACCUUGAGCUGGGACGUCCCCAUGUGCUAAAUGUGCGAUAUGAGAAGCAAUGGGACCACUAUGCGCGGCAGUUGUAACCUGUUGUGCGUUAGAAGGUGCGCUGUGAACCGCGGUAACAACACUGCUUACGGCUGUAGAUUCGGAAGUGGUUACCACCCCAUUUUGCCCUAAUAUCGGUCUACCUGCCAAACCUGCACUCGCAGCUCUAGUAAGAGGCAUAUUGCUUUUUGAUAUAACCAAAUUAGUAAACAAAAAAAAUCAGAAAAAGCGAUAAAAAAUCAAAAAGAAAUCUGUCAAAAGAAUUUGCUCGAAAGUAAACCACACGGUGGUUUGAAUUAAAGAAAAAAAAAAUAAAAACAAUUGUGGUAAGUAAACUAAAAAAAUAAAUUCAAUGUAAUUCAGUUCUUUCACAAUUAAUUCACACUUUUCACUUUUACAAAUUCUAUUAUCCGGCAGAAUAAUUUUGAUGAAAAUAAACUGGAAAAAUUCAAAUAAUGUUAGGUGGUGGAUUUCUGGUCAAAAUAGUGGGAUUUGGUGAGCUACACUGGCAAAACUAGAAUUGAAAUGGACUGAAAAAUUAAAAUGGAACAGGCGGCUUACUCAGACCUCCCUUAAAAAAUUCCAUGACAAUACGACCAAUGGUCGGAAGCCAAAAUUGUCGCAGGACCGAAUGGAAACUCUAGGGCUUAACGGCGGGCACCCAGAGUGUAGAACCUUGACGGCAGCUUGUGACUAAGGCUUUUUCCCAAAACAUGAGGACGAACAAAGGAAUGUAGGUCGAUACCACAUUAAAUCGACGAUCUACACAAUGCCUGGUAACCUAACCUUGAAUUGAGCUCAGUUCAAUGUCGCGUACCUGCAUACCAACACAAAGAAAAACCGCGGAAUUUAAUUAUGUAGCUUAGUCGUCCGUCUGUCUGUCCGGAGUUAAAUAAGUUUCAGUGUCAAUUGGGAAUGAUACCAAGCCACGCUGGAGCAGCAAUGGCGUAAACUCUGCGCCUCCCUCGAUGGAUUGGAUGGGCGAUGGUGUGGCUUGUAGGCUCCAAUUCUUCAUGAAUUUUUAGGUUUAAGAUUUAUAUUCAUUGCUUUAGAAUUUUAGUCAAUUGUUUGGGUUU